UCUGAUGUUACCUAGACCCGAACAAAAGACGACUGAGUAGCAGAUCCGUUUAUGGAGCUCCAUAUUUUGACACACACAAAGCUGGCACAAAGCCAAGAACUAUGUUUUGUUGCUCGUAAGGUACUAGUAAUGUGGAGUGCAUAUGGACUUUGGGACCUGUCGGUCGUAAUAUUGAAUCGAGAACGUCCUUGAUUGAAUCAUGUGACAUAUUUAUAGUUUCUUGACGUUCCUUUGGACACUCUGCCAGCCGUCAUGCCGACAGCGAUGUUCGAUUUACCUAGCUGUCCCGUCUUGUUCCUGUUCCUGUCCUUGUUGACUGCUGGGGAAACAAUGGCUCUGUCCAUUCCCGGUGCCAGACGUCAACAUACAGCUGAACUGUGGAUACCAGAAAGCAGACCACAUUGGGCCACCUCAAAGUCCUGGCUAGCUACAUGUAGGAACUGAGCUUUGAGAAAACAAUGGCAAUGAAAAUUUAUGGAAAGGAAUGCAAUUUAUAGUACUGUCACGAGUGUGGAUUAUUGUCUUAUGACUACUGUAUGUGAUCACAUAUUAUUUCCCAAGAACUACUGAUACUUGUAACCUUAAGCCAGCAUUUUCAUUGUCAGAUUUGGAAAAAUAUGAGCAGAUUACAAUAGUGAACAUUAUAACAAUGCUUUGAACAUGCACGCACUUGUACCAAUGAGGGAAAUUUUACUGCAUUACAUAUGUACGUGAAGGAUUUCAAAGCUUGAAUUAAAAAAAAUCACUGUAGAUCUUUGCAGUUUAUUCCCCUAAUGUAAAAAAAAUGAUUGAAAAUCACUUGUAGCCCAGGUGCAGAGUGGUCAUUGUGUGAAUUAUUUUGGUAUCAGAUUAACCAUUCAGUGAAGAAGUUCCUAAUCUUGCUUGUGAUUGUUGAGGAAUGGCCACAUUGCAGGAACAAAGUUGAGCUACAGUAGAAUCAGUGAAGUCAGGUUUAAGUCAAAGUAGUUCGGAGUAUAUGUUAAGUCUUAUGACUCCAGUACAUGAUCACAUAUAUUUCCCUGUGGAUUAUUGAUAUGUGAAGCAUUACGAGAAAGGUAGCUGAAAACACUGGUUUGACUGUCAUGUGUGUCAAUAAAAUCACACAAAUCUUGGUAUUUCA